AACACACCUGUGUCUAAUUCCCUGAGAUCUAUGUAAGCAGUGUGUGAGAAGCUGCUCGCCUUGCGACAUCCUGCUGCUGCCCUGUGUGAAUCCUUCUCACCUCCAGAUGACUUGCUUUAACAUCACUAGAUCUUUGAUGGUCUUGAAAUAAAACCUUUCAUGUUAUAAUGAAGCGGCGUGUAUGUCUGGCUCUACUUCAGGAUGUCCGUGGUGGUGUGGAGCAGAUGUUUAUAUUGUUUCCCCCUCCAUCUGCAGUGAGGCUCAGCCUGUAAUUAAUCCCAGACCAACAUCAGGCCCAGGGGCUGCCACCAGGUCAGAGGUCAGAGGUCACAGUACAGGGUGGCACCCUGAGGGUGGUGGAGGUGAGAGCUGAAUGAAACACAUGCACUCGGGUUUCUGAGUCAGCACCAAGUCUCUUCUCCUCAGAGCGCCGAUCUGCUCGGGUCUGUUCCUCAGACAGCGUAGAGUCCUGAGACCCGUCUUACUCCGACACACACUCCGACACACACUCCGACACACACUCCGACACACACUCCGACACACACUCCGACACACACUCCGACACACACUCCGACAAAAUCCGAUAUACACUCCGACAAACACUCCGACAAACACUCCGACAAACACUCCGACAAACACUCCGACAAACACUCCGACAUACACUCCGACACACUCGGAUACACUCUGACACAUUCGGAUACACUCUGACACACUCGGAUACACUCUGACACACUCGGAUACACACUGACACACUCAGACUCUGAAACUUGGUCACAUUCUAGCACACUCCGACACACCCCUACACUCUCCAACACACACUCUUCCCUCCACUGAUUUCUCCGACACACACUCUUCCCUCCACUGAUUUCUCCGACACACACUCUUCCCUCCACUGAUUUCGCUGUAUCUCUGACCUUCGUCUCACCCGGUUUAAUAAUCGCACUUUGAUGCGCUCAGUGCGAGAAGCCUCACAGGCUCUGAAUAGACGGGAAACAGGAAGACAUCUGGGCCCCAUGUGGUGGACGGUGCCACGGCCAUGAUGAUGAUGAUGAUGAUGAUGAUGAAGGGUUAUCACGGGGAAAUAAGAUGAUGAAAGAUGAAGAUGUACUCGUGAUAAUUUCCACAGUUUAAUGUUGAAUAAAAUCAGCCGCUGAGGUGCUCAAAA